UACAGAGGGUGCGAGCGUUGUUCGGAAUUAUUGGGCGUAAAGCGCUUGUAGGCGGCUUGUUAAGUUCCGUGUGAAAUCCCCAGGCUUAACCUGGGAAGUGCGCGGAAAACUGGCGAGCUUGAAUGCCGGAGAGGGUCGCGGAAUUCCCGGUGUAGAGGUGAAAUUCGUAGAUAUCGGGGAGGAACACCAGUGGCGAAGGCGGGCGACCCUGGACG
rnacentral:rRNA from 1 species